rnacentral:rRNA from 1 species
GACGAACGCUGGCGGCGUGCUUAACACAUGCAAGUCGAACGGAAAGGGCCUGCUUUUGUGGGGUGCUCGAGUGGCGAACGGGUGAGUAACACGUGAGUAACCUGCCCUUGACUUUGGGAUAACUUCAGGAAACUGGGGCUAAUACCGGAUAGGAGCUCCUACUGCAUGGUGGGGGUUGGAAAGUUUCGGCGGUUGGGGAUGGACUCGCGGCUUAUCAGCUUGUUGGUGGGGUAGUGGCUUACCAAGGCUUUGACGGGUAGCCGGCCUGAGAGGGUGACCGGCCACAUUGGGCCUGAGAUACGGCCCAGACUCCUACGGGAGGCAGCAGUGGGGAAUAUUGCACAAUGGGCGGAAGCCUGAUGCAGCAACGCCGCGUGCGGGAUGACGGCCUUCGGGUUGUAAACCGCUUUCGCCUGUGACGAAGCGUGAGUGACGGUAAUGGGUAAAGAAGCACCGGCUAACUACGUG